AGAGUUUGAUCCUGGCUCAGAGCGAACGCUGGCGGCAGGCCUAACACAUGCAAGUCGAACGAACUCUUCGGAGUUAGUGGCGGACGGGUGAGUAACACGUGGGAACGUGCCUUUAGGUUCGGAAUAACUCAGGGAAACUUGUGCUAAUACCGAAUGUGCCCUUCGGGGGAAAGAUUUAUCGCCUUUAGAGCGGCCCGCGUCUGAUUAGCUAGUUGGUGAGGUAAAGGCUCACCAAGGCGACGAUCAGUAGCUGGUCUGAGAGGAUGAUCAGCCACAUUGGGACUGAGACACGGCCCAAACUCCUACGGGAGGCAGCAGUGGGGAAUCUUGCG
rnacentral:rRNA from 1 species